rnacentral:ncRNA from 1 species
CUUGGAUAAUGGCAAACCUGUUCGAAAGGCAGGGACGCAAAGCCACGGGUCUUCUGCAUAAUAUUAUGCAAUGAUAGCCGGGUUACCCUA